GCAGACCUGUGCGCUUCCCGCUCGCCGCCCGAAACGCUCGGCCCCGCCCGACCUCAGAGAUCCUGCUGCCGCACGACCCGCCUUUAAGGCGCGUCCCGGGACCCCGUAGGCAGUGACUUAUGGGGAGGGGUGCAGUGGCUGCCUUGGCCCGUUUUUACUCUGCAGACUGGGACCCUGGGUUUCGGAAGGAGCUUCCGGCGUUCGCGGGGGUGUCGCACGUAGUGUGGGGAUGCUGCACGCUGGCGGGGGUGUCGCACGCAGGUUGGGGGUGCUGCACGCUGGCGGGGGGGCCACACGCAGGGCCGGAGUGCUGCAUGAUGGCGGGGUUGCUUCACGCUGACGGGGGGUGCAAUGCAGGGGUGCUGCAAGCAGGGUCGGGGUGCGGGAGUGCUGCACGCUCGUGUGGGGGUGCAAUGCGGGGGCACAGGGGUGCUGCAUGCUAGCGGGGGUGCCACACGCAGGGUGGGGUGCGGGAGUGCUUCACGCGGACCGUGUCCAACCUGUGACCUUGCUACUGCUAAGACUGUGCUGGGAUGCGGUCCUCCGCCUCCCCGCCUUUCCCAUUGCAAGAAAGAGAGGUAUUUUGUGGGUAUGUCAGGGUGACCUGCGCAGUGGGGUCAAGGAAUUCACCUGGUCAUAGCAGAGGGCCACAGCCAGCGCGCCCCACCCUUUGCUGCAGACCCUUCUCCCAUCACGUUGAAGAGGGUCGGUAGGGCCCAGCUCCCCGGGGAAGAGGGGCGUCUGGAAGGUCCACACAGCCAGCCAGAUCAGAGGGACCCUCUGUGUUUUGCAGAAAAGCACUCGUGUUUCCUUCAGCUAGUGCUGCAGAGGGAAGGGGAUGGGAGGGGGUGAGUGAGGACUGGGUGGAAGGGAAGGGUCCCACCAAUGCUGCGGCCACAGAGGCUGUGCUCACGAAUGUGGCGUCAGCCCUGGUAAGUUCCGCUCCUCCCCUCUGGCUAUCUCAAUCUCUUUAAAGGUCGUGGACUUAGGGUCGUGGGUGCUAAGUUCUGAGGCUUCAGAGGAUGGAGUAAUGCCAGCCAGGGCCUGUGGGGGGAGGAGGGUUUCUGUGGGCAGAUGCCCACAGAGGGUCAGCCUUGAGGCUAUUGGUGGUGUGAGUGGAGCUGGUAGUCAUUUCCAGCGGAAGGACCUUGGACUGCAGGAACUGUCAGGCAGUGAGGUCUGGCUGGUGGACUGGAGGUGCAGAGGUUGAGCAGGAGACCAGGGAGACCCUGGGCAAUCACAGUGGGGUGGGGGGUGUGUGGCUUGCCUCGCCUUCCAGGCACUUCAGAUUUGUCUUCCUGGUGCCUUUGGUAGCAUUUGACCCUUUCGACCAUUCUCUGGCUGCUCCUGGUUGCCGUAACUCUUGCUGUUAAGACAUCCACUGCCUUGCCCACUACCAGCUCACUCCUGUCCCAUGCCCUGGUCUUUCCAUUCCUCUUUGGCCACUUGUCACUCUUCUCUGUGUCUGUGCAGCCCAGGCCCAUUGGCAGUCUUCAGGGGGGCAGUCUGGAUCCCUCUUCUUAAGCCCUCCAGGCAUGACUGUCUACCCUGAGCCUUCAUCCUCAUACUGCCUUAUUCAUGAUCCUGAGUUGCCACUGUCAGCCUUGCCCUCUGUCCAGGGUCCUGAGUCAGCUCCCAACUGUACCUUUCCUGUGUCUGUUGCCCGAAUUCUUUUUUUUUUUUUUUUUUGUGGUUUUUGGCUGGGGCUAGGUUUGAACCCGCCACCUCUGGCACAUGGGACCGGCACCCUACUCCUUGAGCCACAGGCGCCGCCCUGUUGCCCGAAUUCUUAAACUCAGCACCUUCACAGUGGGAUGCUGCAUCCCUUCCCCAUCUUCCUACAGCUCCUCAUGGCCAGGCUUCAGUGAGCCUGGUCAGUGGACCUGGUAUACCAAUGCCCCAAGAAGGACCAUGCCAGGUUGGAUGCCAAAGCUCUCAGGCCCCCUCAGUCAGUAGUAACAUAGGGACAAGAAGACCUGUUCCAAGGCCAGGAGACCCUGAUGGGAGAAAAACACCCACACUACCACAAGCACUUUGAGGACACAGGAGGGACCACUUCCUGACUCUGUACGUGAUACCAUCAUAGCCCUGGUAUCAAAUCCAGGGCUUUCCUAUUGACUGUAAGAGCCCUUUUCAUAUGGAGGGCACUGCAUUCUCUCUGCUCCCUGUUCCCUGGCUCUGCCCAGGGUGGGGGCCCUGCUGCCCAGCCUUUGGCUUCUGUGGUCCCCAGGCAUGAAGGGCUGAGGCUCUGUGCACUGUGACUGCUUCUGGAGGACAAGGGCCACCCUGGAGAAAGAUGGGGAGCCUCACUUCUGGGGGACCCCAAGUUCAACAAAGAGGAUCAGCCUCAGGUGCAGAAAGACUUUCUGGUUGACUGGAGCAGAGCAGGGGACAGCAUCUCACACCGUGAAGGAGAGGACUGGCCACACUGGAAAUUGCCCUCAUAAGCAAAUGCAGUGUUGGCUGUGGGUCCAGGCUGACGUCCGCCUCCCUCUCCCCGCUUCCUUCUCAACCCCACAGAAUCCAUGCUGAAGGAAACUUCGUCCAAAGCAAACAAGCAGAAAAUGCAUGGCGUGGACUCUCCUGAUGGGUCUGCCAAGACAUGAUGAUGUUUAUACUCCGGUGAAUUGUGGCUUAAUAUUCCAUGAAUUUCUAGUACAACUGUCUUUGUAUUUACUUGUUUAAUGAAAGUCAGCUCUGGAGACCGCCAAGAGAUCUCCGCCACGGUGCUGCUGCCGGGGCACAGAAGUGCCAUCCGCCGUCCCCGCCUCGCCUGUAAUGAGACCAUUUAUUUAUGGU